rnacentral:lncRNA from 1 species
ACUCGGUUAAGUUCUCAUGGUUGUAAAGACAUUUAUAUCUUAAUUAUGCACAAAAGUAUUCUUCAGAUUUUUGGAACUGCAUUAAAAAAAAAAUCAUAAGCUCGGAUGUAAGUUCGAGCAGUCGUUAAACAGGUAAGUCAUUAAGUGAGGAGUACCUAUAUAAAAAUCCACGUAAUAGUAUGAAAAUUUAUAACAUAGUAUCAUAGCCUAUAACAUAACAUCUAAACCUAUAGCAUUAUAUCUUCCUAAAACUAUGGCGAAUUUAGGACACGCGUACUCAACGCGACUCGCUGGAAGAUUUUUUAGAUAUGUCAAACUUGGAGUGAUAUACAAUAAAAUCCCGAUAAUCCGAGGUUGGAUUAUCUGGGUUGUGGAUUAUCGAUAUUUUAUUUUCGAUGCGAUAUCUGAAAGAUUUUUAACGCCACAGAUUCGUUUCUUUGUUGUAUCGGCAAUCAAAAUUUCAAAUACAGUAUCACAGAUGCAGUAAUUUAUUGCUGCAAACAUAAAUUUAUCGUUUCCAUUUUCAAUAAAUUAUAGAGCAUUUGCAUAGCAUUAAAUAGCACGUAUGCGCAUGCAA